rnacentral:antisense_RNA from 1 species
GUUGUGACUAUAGUUGCAACAAAGGACCGACGUAUGUUCAAAAACGGUUGAACAUCCUAAUCUCCCUCUAGGUUUCUCAGGCCUAAGGAGACGGUUC